CCUACGGGGGGCUGCAGUGGGGAAUGUUGGACAAUGGGGGCAACCCUGAUCCAGCCAUGCCGCGUGUGUGAAGAAGGCCCUCGGGUUGUAAAGCACUUUCAGUGAGGAAGAACGCCUGGUGGUUAAUACCCAUCAGGAAAGACAUCACUCACAGAAGAAGCACCGGCUAACUCCGUGCCAGCAGCCGCGGUAAUACGGAGGGUGCGAGCGUUAAUCGGAAUUACUGGGCGUAAAGCGCGCGUAGGUGGCUUGAUAAGCCGGUUGUGAAAGCCCCGGGCUCAACCUGGGAACGGCAUCCGGAACUGUCAAGCUAGAGUGCAGGAGAGGAAGGUAGAAUUCCCGGUGUAGCGGUGAAAUGCGUAGAGAUCGGGAGGAAUACCAGUGGCGAAGGCGGCCUUCUGGACUGACACUGACACUGAGGUGCGAAAGCGUGGGUAGCAAACAGGAUUAGAUACCCUAGUAGUC
rnacentral:rRNA from 1 species